GCAACUUCUUCUUUUGAUGUUUUUUAAUGGCGUUAUUCUCCUGAGAAAGAGCACCCAACUACAUUCAUCAAAAAAGAAAACCCAACUGUGUCCUGUCUUUCUCCGUGGCAUGGAUUUCGCUGCAGGAGGAGUCUCUCCCCCGAUCCUCUGCUGCCAAUGAUGUGAAAAAGGGUUUGUGUGGGGAACUAGACAUGGAAGAUCCAAACAAAUCCCUUCAAGACUAAGUCUACCAUAUUGGUCCAAUCAUGUUCCCUACCGUUAUAUUGGGUCAAUAUAUAAGUUAUAUCCCACUUAUGACUUUGCUGUUCCUUUGUUGACAAUAUAGAAAGUGUUAAACAGACGAUCCUGCAAGGCAAAGUUUGGUUCGUUCACAUUUAUUUGCAUCUGGCCAAGGCGCAAAAAGACAGGAAGUGCUGGAGGGAAGGCCAAAAUGUACAUGAGAGAUUAUGAAUAGAUCAGACUAAUGGAAAAUUGACGCAGUAACAUUAAUGUACUGGGAAAUGCUUUAGAGAAAGAAAUUAGGAAAGACUAGGAUGGAAAUCUCAUGCAGUUGACACGCGAUUUUGCAUCUUGAAGAAUAUGUCUUAUGUAGCUGAAGUUCACACGCGAUCAACCUUGUCUGGAUAGAAUUUAUCUAUCUAAUGACAGAUAAGAAUGUAAUUCCUACAGGAAUUGUAAAUUUUUCAUCAUUCUUUCCUUUUAUUUCUGGAGUACAUGUUUUAAUUAAUGGAGUGAAUUCACUACUGCUGGACUACAUUCAAUUUGUGUUUUUUAUACAUGCCAUUAGGAUUAGGAGUAUGUGGGAGGGAGAAGUCGAUUUGCAACCGUCAGUUCUUCUGAUCUAAAAAGGAUCUGGCUUAAGGCCCUAUUAUUUUGA